UACGAAGGGGGCUAGCGUUGCUCGGAAUCACUGGGCGUAAAGCGCACGUAGGCGGACUCUUAAGUCGGUGGUGAAAUCCUGGAGCUCAACUCCAGAACUGCCUUUGAUACUGAAGAUCUUGAGUUCGGGAGAGGUGAGUGGAACUGCGAGUGUAGAGGUGAAAUUCGUAGAUAUUCGCAAGAACACCAGUGGCGAAGGCGGCGACCUGGUCCGUGGACUGACGCUGAGGCGCGAAAGCGUGGGGAGCAAACAGGG
rnacentral:rRNA from 1 species